rnacentral:rRNA from 1 species
UACAGGGGGUGCAAACGUUGCUCGGAAUCAUUGGGCGUAAAGCGCACGUAGGCGGUCUGUUAUGUCGAUGUGAAAGCCCUUGGCUUAACUGAGGAAGUGCAUCCGAAACUGGCAGGCUAGAGUACUAAAGAGGGUCGCGGAAUUCCCGGUGUAGAGGUGAAAUUCGUAGAUAUCGGGAGGAACACCGGUGGCGAAGGCGGCGACCUGGGUAGAUACUGACGCUGAGGUGCGAAAGCGUGGGGAGCAAACAGG